AUUGAACGCUGGCGGCAGGCCUAACACAUGCAAGUCGAACGAGUGGCGGACGGGUGAGUAAUGUCUGGGAAACUGCCCGAUGGAGGGGGAUAACUACUGGAAACGGUAGCUAAUACCGCAUACUAUCGGAUGAACCCAUAUGGGAUUAGCUAGUAGGUGGGGUAAAGGCUCACCUAGGCGACGAUCUCUAGCUGGUCUGAGAGGAUGAUCAGCCACACUGGGACUGAGACACGGCCCAGACUCCUACGGGAGGCAGCAGUGGGGAAUAUUGCACAAUGGGCGCAAGCCUGAUGCAGCCAUGCCGCGUGUAUGAAGAAGGCCUUAGGGUUGUAAAGUACUUUCAGCGGGGAGGCGUUACCAACAGAAUAAGCACCGGCUAACUUCGUGCCAGCAGCCGCGGUAAUAC
rnacentral:rRNA from 1 species